CUACCGUGUUUCCCCGAAAAUAAGACAUCCCCAUAAAAUAAGACCUAGUACAGGUUUGGGAGACUUGCCGAAUAUAAGACCUCCCCCGAAAGUAAGACCUAGGAGGGAGCCGCUGGUGCCGCUGCCGCGGCUCCCUUCUCCUUCCUCAGCUGGUGCUGUGCAAAUAAGAAAGUGCUGCUCACGCUUUUCCCUCUCCCUUCCCUCGCUUCCCCCUUUGGUCGGCACUUGCUGAAGAGGGGGAAGGAAAAGGUGGGAGAAAAAGCUUCUCCUUAGCCUUCCUGGCCGGUGCUGUGUGAAUGCAAAGGAGAAGGGGCUGCUUGUUCUUGUCCCUUCCCCCUUUGGACGGCAUUUGCUGAAGAAGAGGAAAGAAAAAGCGAUAGAAGAGCUGUGCGAAUGAGAUCCUUUUCUCCUGCCUUUCCCUUUCCCUUCCGCAGCUGCCGCUAUGGAAGAAGGGAGAGGCACGCACUCUUCCUGCCUUCUCACUUUCCAGCUUCCUCACUUUCCACGUGGCUACCUUUCCUACCUUCUUCCUCGCUGGGUGUGUGCCAGAUAGUGUAUGAGAACCAGACAGGAUUGUUUCUCACCAUCUUCACCCAGCAUACAUAUUGAAGGUUCAGAUCUGCACCACUAAAGAAGCUUCAGUUCUGCUGUUAUCCUGCAACAUUCAUCUACAAGGUCAACCUCAGAGGAACAAAGUAAGAGGGAGAUCUACAAAGGAUCUCAUGUGUGAUUGUAUUGAGGCUAGCACAUUCCAGGACCAAUGAAAUGAGAAUGAGCUAGAAGUAAGGAUAUUUUUUUAGCCACUUCAGACCAUUUUUCUUGGAGCCUUGUCAAGAGUUUGAUUUCUACAAGAAGGACUAUCAGAAGCAACAAAAGCAAACUUCCAUGUAUUUCCAUGUUUGUUUCAUUAUGAAGGAGAAUGUUUUCAGCAAUAAUUGGUUUUACUGCAGCAAUCAGUUCAAAUCUGGAAGGCAACUGUUCGUUGGACAACCAACAAACAUUUAAGAAAACAAUUUCCAAAGUUAAUAAAACUAAACUAUUUAGCAAACAAACCUCAGAGUUCUCCUUUUUAUUUUGUGGUUUUAUGUACUUCUUUGAUACAAUGAUUAAUAAAUGAUUUAC
rnacentral:lncRNA from 11 species